GAUUCAGUCGCAGAAUUGGUACUGCAAAAGACUCUUAAUCUUUGAGGAUGUGGGUUCGAGUCCCACCUGAAUCA
rnacentral:tRNA from 1 species